rnacentral:rRNA from 1 species
CCUACGGGAGGCAGCAGUGGGGAAUAUUGGUCAAUGGUCGGGAGACUGAACCAGCCAAGCCGCGUGAGGGAUGAAGGUACAGAGUAUCGUAAACCUCUUUUGUCAGGGAACAAAGGCGGGGACGUGUCCCCGGUUGAGUGUACCUGAAGAAAAAGCAGCGGCUAACUCCGUGCCAGCAGCCGCGGUAAUACGGGGGAUUCGAGCGUUAUCCGGAUUUAUUGGGUUUAAGGGGUGCGCAGGCGGUCUGUUAAGUCAGCGGUCAAAGCCCGGGGCUCAACCCCGGCCCGCCGUUGAAACUGGCGGUCUCGAGUAGGAGAGAAGUAUGCGGAAUGCGCGGUGUAGCGGUGAAAUGCAUAGAUAUCGCGCAGAACUCCGAUUGCGAAGGCAGCAUGCCGGCUCCACACUGACGCUGAGGCACGAAAGCGUGGGUAUCGAACAGGAUUAGAUACCCCAGUAGUC